CUGACUCUUUAGCUAAGGCAAGAAAAAAGGCAAGAGUAAGAGCAAAUUCAGAUAAUAUAGAAGACUUAAAAGGUUUUGGGCCAAGAGGAAUAAGGACUGAGAUGUGGGACGCUUUAAUUGACAUAUGGAUGACAUAAGACUGGAAAAAGAAAUCUAUUGCUGGUAAAAACAAUAGGGCUGCCAAGCCAGAGGCUAUGGUGCACACUGGAGGGUCAAUAAGCUUUGGACAACACUUGAAAAAGAUGGAGGCGGAACGUAAUGGGUCUGUUUCUUAUGGUGAACUAUACAACAAAGUUCAUAAAAGAAAAGACGGUCAAUAUGUCUCCAAUAAAGCAAAAAAAUUUCAUUGAAUCAUAUGAAAGUGCUAUGGUAGAAAUAUAUGGAGAAGAUGUAUCAAAGCAUCCUAAAGUUGAUUCUGAAGUAUGGAUGAAAAUGGGAGGUGAAAAUAAGAAA